UCUGAUUACCAGGUAAACCAAU
rnacentral:siRNA from 1 species